UACGUAGGGGGCAAGCGUUGUCCGGAUUUAUUGGGCGUAAAGAGCGUGUAGGCGGCCAGACAGGUCCGUUGUGAAAACUCGAGGCUCAACCUCGAGACGCCGAUGGAAACCAUCUGGCUAGAGUCCGGAAGAGGAGAGUGGAAUUCCCGGGUGUAGCGGUGAAAUGCGUAGAGAUCUGGAAGAACACCGAAGGCGGAGGCAGCGUUCUGGGAGCAACGUGACGCUCAUAGUGCGAAAGGCCAGGGGAGAC
rnacentral:rRNA from 1 species